GGAGAGGUGGCUGAGUGGUUGAAAGCGGCAGAUUGCUAAUCUGUUGUACAAUAUAAUUGUACCGAGGGUUCGAAUCCCUUCUUCUCCU
rnacentral:tRNA from 1 species